AAGCGAUGGAGCCACGUGCUUUCACUUGACCUGAACUCUUGUCUUCUAGAGAGUAUUUAGAAAUGACCAGAGCAUGCCACUGAAUUUCCAGCAAACUUUCCAGCUGAGCUGCCCCUGGAGAACAGCGUCUGCCCAGAAUGUGGCAGCCUUUUGUUUUAACCCAUGCUGAUGCGUAACAUUUAGCAGGGCAGGCCCUUGUCACCAGCACAGGAUGUGGAAAUUGCUAGUGGCAUUGGAUGGCAUUAGCUUUUAAUCCAAGGCACGCCUUCUGUCCCAUUCCCCGGAUCCCCCAAAUGACAACGGUGGAGGAGGCCACUGGCUGUGCAGGUGACAGCCCUCCAGCUGGAGAGCCAGCCCACCAGAGAUUUGCAGAUCCUGACCAUGACACCCGGAAUCUUCUCACGUCCACGCUACCCAGCUCGAGGGCUUUGGAUCUGCAGGAAAUCUGUCUUUGGGCCCGCUCGUCUUUAGCUCCAGUGAC